GGGGCCUUGUAGGGCAGAGCUGGGGAACUGGAGCACGCCUGCUCCUCCUGCUGCUGCCACCUGCUUUGUGGUUUGUCCCUGGGUGAAAAAAACACCUUGGGCUUGUCAAAGAAAUGUCCUGAUGGUGUAGGUGGUGGCUGUGCUCUCAGGUAGGUGCUGGGGAGGGCUGUAAAGACAGACAUAAGGCUUCCUUUCUUCGUGUUCAGCACUGGCCGAGUCAUCAAGACCUGACAUUCCUCUUGUAAGAGCUUAGGUAAGGGAUAAUGCCACUGCACCACGCUGCCGGGAUGUUCACAUGAUGGAUUUCAGCAUGCCCCCUAACUUCACUCCAUACCAUCUGGCGUUUAUUUGCAGAGUCCCAAAAAUAGCCCAACUGCUAGCUCUCCCUUCUGAGCCAGUUACUAUUUCUGAGCGGAAUGGGAUCUUGCUGAACGUGGCUAAUAACUGAAAUUGAAAAGGGCCCUGGCUGCCUGCUUCGAGCUGACUUUGCUGGAGCUCAGCUCAUCUGUUGUCAGUGAAGUCAUUAUGGAUAAAUACGGGCCUCAGAUGAGGGCACCGAGUGGGCAGAGAAAUGGGUUUGGGGACCAAGAUUCAGCCAUGUCGAGGGGGUGAGAGGGUCAGGGCAUGUCAGGGAGCGAGCGUUCGUGGCUGGCUCCCCGAGGCACACACACGCUGCUCUUCCUCCCUACCCCUGCCUUGGGACAUUUGCCUCCCUCUGAUAAAAGGGAAAAUCUGUUUUGUAACGGGGAGCUCCCAAAUUCCCUGCCAGGCUGACGGCAGGGGAUAUAAAUCACCUCCUUUAUGAGUUAAAAAAAUGAAUUCUCGUCAUAGAAGAGACAAAUUGUUUGGGUAUGUCCUUGGGAGGCCGGAAGGUAUCUGCCUCGCUCCACAUUUUACCUUUAAAACUGAAAUGGUGGAUUUUGGACGGGGUGGCUGGGCAGUUUCAAUGAGUGUGUGAUAGCGAGGGCAGCAGGAAUGCUGUCGUCUCCUUGAAACCAGCUCUUGACUGAGAUGGAUUUCAGGCCAGCAGAAAGGAUUGAGGGAUGGGGUCUGACACGGAGCAGGUGGAACAGCAGAAGCUGCACCCACGCAUCCCUGACCUGGGCUGGUGCUGAGCUAAGCUGGAAGUGGUCUUCUGACCUUUAUCUUCUGGCUGUCAGUGCUCGGUUACACUCUGCUGAGCUGCGUCUCACUCGGAUUUCCCCUCUAAAAUGUUUUUGUAAGAAGGCACAGGAACCUACCCCUGAGAAUCCCGCCACGAAGAGCACCCAAAUAAUUCGUCUGUGGGGGCGCGUGGGAAAGGUUCGCUUCCUACCUAGAACUAAAGCAAAGCAGAAGUCGGACGAAGAAGGGAAAUGAAGUUUCCACCUCGCUCCCUUCCCGCAGCAGCUGCAGCCUUGUCCCGUAGCUGACUGCCGUGAGCCCCGUGGCUUUGGUAAAACAAAAUCCCAAAGAGAAGGAGCUGCCAAACGGUAACAUCCUAAAAACGGGGUCUCAUUGAAAAAAAAGGGUUUGAGCUAUAAGGGUUGGAAGAGAAAGGGCCACUUUAUGGCUUUGCCCUUGUGCCAAAGGAGUUGAGCAAGGGAUUUACGUUUAAUAAUUUCCCCAAACUCUGUGCACUGAAUCAGAGCCCGAGGCGAGCCGGGCUGUCCUUCUCCUGGCUUUCUGCGGGCAGGGGACGGCGUUACAGCGACUGGCAGGGGUUCAGCCCAAGGGCAGGGCGAAAGGCUUUGUGUUUUUUGAUCCAAGGGAGGCAGUGGCUCGAGCAGCAAAGAAUGCAAACGGAUUCUUUUUAACUAUUUCUUUCUGCAUUGAACACAACGCUCCUGCGAGGGAGGAAGAGCUCGUGGCCCAAAUUCAUCUGUGAAAGCUGGCAGCAGCGAAGGAAAGGGAAUCUGCAAAGCACCGAGCUCCGAGGAGAGAGCAAGAAGCAAUUCUGCUGGCUUCUGCUCCUCCUUUCCUUCCCGCUGCGCGAGCAGCAGGAGCAGGGGCAGAAGCCUCCAAACACCUCGUGAGCUGUGUGAGACCUUCCGAGCUCUGCCCAGGCCUCCCCUUGGGGUGGAGCUUUUGCUCCGUUUACGCCUCGGCCUGGGAAUUUCUCUUAAUAGGGCAUUUGGGAUCGCAGCAGCUGGCCCCGAUCCUGCUUACCUAAGAUGGCCGGAGCCCAGCUCGUAACCAAGCGGGGCAGCUCUGUCACUGUCACUGCCACGUUUAGAAAACCAAACAAGGACCCGCAGCAGCCUCUGGGGCUCGCUGCUCCUCGGAGAGCCCCGAAGGUCCUGCCGUUAAGGUCCUGCCAUCAGCCACCUGCUUCUUGCGAGCCCUGCUCCGAAAACCCCAUCAGAAUUCAGGUGCGGGACGCGAGGACUCGCUGCUCUCAUCCCGUUCGGGGCAUUCUGCGCCCUCAAGCCAGGGUCCUGCCCCUGCUGGGUCAGUUGGAAGGGAAAGUUCCUCUUUGCCCGCUCGAGGAGGGGAAGAAUUUGGAACUGAGGGGAAGAAUUUGGAACCGGCUGACCCCUUGGAAGUGCCUGCAGCUGACACGUGGCCAGAGGCAGCUCCUGGGGCAGCGAGCACAAAAUCUCCUUUUUUGGAGCCCUCAGCUCGCAGCCUGCGCUGUGUGCCCGGCUGCCUUUGUGUCUGAGCUCACACAGCGCUGCCCUAAGGACCAGGGGAAGCGCUGCUCCCGUUAAUCCUACCCGUUACCUGGUGCUCGGGGUGGUUUUGUGGUUGUUUUUUAAGGCAGAGCUCUGCUUGGGUCGCUGUUUGCUCGAGGAGGUUGCUUUGUCCUCCCCUCUGAAAUGCCUGACUGCUCCGCUGUGAGCUUGGGGCUGAGGAGCACUCCUGGAGGUCGCUCCCCCACUAAUCCAUCCCAUAACAGUCCCGGGGUUUCUUCCUAUUCCCGACCUUGCCCUUGGGACAAGCAGCAA